rnacentral:rRNA from 1 species
AAGAAACCAACAGGGAUUGCCCCAGUAGCGGCGAGUGAAGCGGUAAGAGCUCAGAUUUGAAAUCGUGUUUCGGCACGAGUUGUAGAGUGUAGGCGGGAGUCUCUGUGGAGCGCGGUGUCCAAGUCCCUUGGAACAGGGUGCCUGAGAGGGUGAGAGCCCCGUAGGGUGCUGCGCGAAGCUUUUGAGGCCCUGCCGACGAGUCGAGUUGUUUGGGAAUGCAGCUCCAAGCGGGUGGUAAAUUCCAUCUAAGGNUAAAUAUUGGCGAGAGACCGAUAGCGAACAAGUACUGUGAAGGAAAGAUGAAAAGCACUUUGAAAAGAGAGUGAAACAGCACGUGAAAUUGUUGAAAGGGAAGGGUAUUGGGCUCGACAUGGGGGGUGCGCACCGCUGUCUCUUGUAGGCGGCGCUCUGGGCGCCCUCUGGGCCAGCAUCGGUUCCUGCUGCGGGAGAAGGGGCUCCGGAAAGUGGCUCUUCGGAGUGUUAUAGCCGGGGCCAGAUGCCGCGUGUGGGGACCGAGGACUGCGGCUUCUGUCUCGGAUGCUGGCAUAACGGCGCAAUACCGCCCGUCUUGAAACACGGACC